rnacentral:rRNA from 1 species
GACGAACGCUGGCGGCGUGCUUAACACAUGCAAGUCGAACGGUGAAGCGCCUUCCUUUUUGGUGGGUGUGGAUGAGUGGCGAACGGGUGAGUAACACGUGAGUAACCUGCCCCCUUCUUCUGGAUAACCGCAUGAAAGUGUGGCUAAUACGGGAUAUUCUGGGUCUGUCGCAUGAUGGGUCUGGGAAAGAUAUUGUUUCGGUGGGGGAUGGGCUCGCGGCCUAUCAGCUUGUUGGUGGGGUGAUGGCCUACCAAGGCGGUGACGGGUAGCCGGCCUGAGAGGGUGGACGGUCACACUGGGACUGAGACACGGCCCGGACACCUACGGGAGGCAGCAGUGGGGAAUAUUGCACAAUGGGCGCAAGCCUGAUGCAGCGACGCCGCGUGAGGGAUGGAGGCCUUCGGGUUGUGAACCUCUUUCGCCAGUGAAGCAGGCCUGCCUCGUUUGUGGGUGGGUUGACGGUAGCUGGAUAAGAAGCGCCGGCUAACUACGUG